UCCCUGGUGACUCCGAUGGUAAAGAGUCUGCCUGCAGUGCAGGAGACCCAGGUUCAAACCCUGGGUUGGGAA
rnacentral:tRNA from 1 species